AACCCUACUGCUAGUUGCCAGCGGGUCAUGCCGGGGACUCUAGCGGAACUGCCAGCGUAAGCUGCGAGGAAGGUGGGGAUGACGUCAAGUCAGUAUGUCCCUUACGUCCAGGGCUACACACGUGUUACAAUGGCCGGUACAAUGAGUUGCGACCCUGCAAAGGUAAGCCAAUCUCAAAAAACCGGUCUCAGUUCGGAUUGCAGUCUGCAACUCGACUGCAUGAAGUUGGAAUCGCUAGUAAUCGUAGAUCAGCACGCUACGGUGAAUACGUUCCCGGGCCUU
rnacentral:rRNA from 1 species